AAGGAAUAUUGGGCAAUGGAGGCAACUCUGACCCAGCCAUGCCGCGUGCAGGAAGACGGCCCUACGGGUUAUAAACUGCUUUUAAUAGGGAGUAAGGUUAGUUACGUGUAACUAAUUGCAAGUACCUAUAGAAUAAGGAUCGGCUAACUCCGUGCCAGCAGCCGCGGUAAUACGGAGGAUCCAAGCGUUAUCCGGAUUUAUUGGGUUUAAAGGGUGCGCAGGCGGACUAAUAAGUCAGUGGUGAAAUCUACAUGCUUAACAUGUAUCGUGCCAUUGAUACUGUUGGACUAGUAUGCAAAUGACGUAGCUGGAAUGUGUUAUGUAGCGGUGAAAUGCUUAGAUAUAACACAGAACACCAAUCGUGAAGACAGGUUACGAAUUUGUAAUAGACGCUCAGGCACGAAAGCGUGGGGAUCAAACA
rnacentral:rRNA from 1 species